rnacentral:lncRNA from 1 species
CCACUUCGAGAGCUUAGCGAGGGCGCCACAACUAAUGGCAGCUGUGCUGGUGCUGAAAGGAAAGGUAAAGCCGGAGGUGGUGAGCAGGCAGGGAAUAACCAGUAACUUGCAGGCCACUUCUUGCAGUGCUGGUGCCUGGUAGUGACCAUGGAGGUGAGUCACUGAGGGAGAUUUAUCAGGUCAUUCCUCUCUGUUUCCUUCUUUCUUCUAAAACCCAAAUUUAAAAAGGGGUAAAAGCGUGUUUAACCUAAAGCUAACCUAAAGCUAGAUUCGAGCUUCCGCGCGCCCCGAGGCUAACGAAUACUACUAAAUCUAACUUGUUUAUUUGCCGCGAAGAAAGGUUGAGAUUUAACGGAAUCUCAAGUCUGAACCCUGAAACCGCAAGCUCCUUCAGCAGGCUUUUUCAGCUGGCCUUUGUUUUUUUUUCCUCAAACACACUCCCCUGUUCCUGCUUCUAUGCUGUAACUGAAUUCAUAACUAAUUGCCAGAGGGCCUGACAGAAGACAAGACUGGAGGAGGAUGCAUGAAAUGUGCACGGGAGAAAGGAAGAAAGAGGAUGAAACGAAAAAAAGAAGGUAGGUUUGCUUUGCCGUGGUGGGUGAGAGGGUAAGGGCUAGUUUGGAAACCACAUUUUCUAAAUGAUUUACACUUUUCUAAGAAAAAAUAGUAAUAGAAAUUUCUUUGAAAACAGAGUUUCCAAAGUAGCUCCUAAGAAGAUCUAAUGCCUCGAUCGGCACACACCCUGCUAAUGUUGACUACCAUUUUUUUUCAACAAAACUAAUCAUGCGGACCAUG